rnacentral:rRNA from 1 species
AGCCGGGCGACUCUGGAGGGACGUGCCGGCGACAAGCCGGAGGAAGGUGGGGAGUGACGUCAAGUCAUCAUGGCCCUUAUGUCCAGGGCGACACACGUGCUACAAUGGCCGGCACAGCGGGAAGCGGAGGGGCGACCCUGAGCGGAUCCCUUGAAAGCCGGUCCCAGUUCGGAUUGCAGUCUGCAACUCGACUGCAUGAAGUUGGAAUCGCUAGUAAUCGCGGAUCAGCCAAGCCGCGGUGAAUACGUUCCCGGGCCUU